rnacentral:rRNA from 1 species
CAGCCGCCACGGGAAUACGAAGGGUGCAAGCGUUAAUCGGAAUUACUGGGCGUAAAGCGUGCGUAGGCGGUGAGUUAAGUCUGCUGUGAAAUCCCCGGGCUCAACCUGGGAAUGGCAGUGGAUACUGGCUCGCUAGAGUGUGUCAGAGGAUGGUGGAAUUCCCGGUGUAGCGGUGAAAUGCGUAGAGAUCGGGAGGAACAUCAGUGGCGAAGGCGGCCAUCUGGGACAACACUGACGCUGAGGCACGAAAGCGUGGGGAGCAAACAGGAUUAGAUACCCCCGUAGUCCCUGUCUCUUAUAA